rnacentral:ncRNA from 1 species
AAUAAAAUUUUUUAUGGUUUAAAAAUUUAUUAUAGGUUUAUUUUACAUAUAAAUUUUAGUGUUAUAUUUACUUUAUUUAAAUAAUAUUUUAUUUUGAUUAAGGUAGUAAUUAAAAUUAAAAAUUUAAGGAAUUAAGAUUUAGUAAUAUUUUAAUUAAUAACUAAUUUUGUGCCAGCAGUUGCGGUUAUACAAAAAUUAAAUUAAAUUUUUUUAGGGAUUAAUGAAUAAUUAAUUAAAAUAUAAAAUUAAAUUUUAAAUUAUUAGGUGAAAUUUUAAUUAAUUAAAAUUUUAUAUUAAAUUAUGAGGUUAAAAAAUUUUAUUAAAAACUAGGAUUAGAUACCCUAUUAUAAAAAAUUUAAAUUAAUAAUACUAAAAUAGUAUAUAAUUAUUUAUAAAAACUUAAAUAAUUUGGCGGUAUUUUAGUUUAUUUAGAGGAAUCUGUUUAUUAAUUGAUAUUCCACGAAUAAAUUUACUUAAUUUAUUUCUUUUGUAUAUCGUUGUUAGAAAAAUAUUUUUAGAUGAAAAUAAUAUUUUAAUUUUUAAAAUAAAAAUAAAAUCAGAUCAAGAUGCAGAUUAUAAUUAAGAAUAUAAUGGAUUACAAUAAAUUUAUUUAAGUGAAUAUUAAUUUAAAAAAGUUAAUUGAAAUUGGAUUUAAAUGUAAUUUUAUUUAAUUUAUUAAAAUGGUUUUAAUUUAAAAUAUGUACAUAUUGCCCGUCGCUUUCAUUUAUAAAUUGAAAUAAGUCGUAACAAAGUAGAGGUACUGGAAAGUGUUUCUAGAAAGA